GACGAACGCUGGCGGCGUGCCUAAUACAUGCAAGUUGAGCGCUGAAGGUUGGUACUUGUACCAACUGGAUGAGCAGCGAACGGGUGAGUAACGCGUGGGGAAUCUGCCUUUGAGCGGGGGACAACAUUUGGAAACGAAUGCUAAUACCGCAUAAAAACUUUAAACACAAGUUUUAAGUUUGAAAGAUGCAAUUGCAUCACUCAAAGAUGAUCCCGCGUUGUAUUAGCUAGUUGGUGAGGUAAAGGCUCACCAAGGCGAUGAUACAUAGCCGACCUGAGAGGGUGAGAGGCCACAUUGGGACUGAGACACGGCCCAAACUCCUACGGGAGGCAGCAGUAGGGAAUCUUCGGCAAUGGACGAAAGUCUGACCGAGCAACGCCGCGUGAGUGAAGAAGGUUUUCGGAUCGUAAAACUCUGUUGGUAGAGAAGAACGUUGGUGAGAGUGGAAAGCUCAUCAAGUGACGGUAACUACCCAGAAAGGGACGGCUAACUACGUG
rnacentral:rRNA from 1 species